UUUCCAUACAAAAAACUAACUUGAAACGAUAUCUGCACCUCCGUGUUCAUUCCAGCGUUAUUUACAACAGCCAAGACAUGAAAACAACCUAAGUGUCCAUUGCUGGAUGAAUGGCUAAU